UUGGGCCUUUAUCUCCAUUUGCAUGCCGACUCCAGGUGUACGUGGUAAACGAAACCCAUAGAACGAUUUGUGACGUCUGCAGAGAAGCCCUGUCUUUUUGGUGGCACGGUUUCUUUGAUGAUGUUGUACAAUU
rnacentral:snoRNA from 1 species